rnacentral:rRNA from 1 species
AUGGACCAUUCCAACCCUUAUUCCCGUGGCUAUGCAUCAGAUUCGGAUGACGAAGGUCCUGAUGAACAAGUUGAUGAGGGGUUCACGGUGAAGGAGGCCGAAGCUUUCGAGAAGGUAUUCGGGCGGGAUCAUCGGACUACAUUGUUCAAGGAUGUUAGUCUCGCGGAUGAAGCCAUGGUAGAUGGUGGCCAAGGUAUAUCUCUUGGGGUUAGGCCA